AUGGCAGAUCCAUGUCCCCAGAGGGAUAUGAGGACACAAGGGAAUGGGGACAACCUGGAUCUGUGUCCCCAAGGGUUCCCUAUUGUCCCCAAGGGGACAUGGAGACACAAGAGGGUGGGGAGACCCUGGAUCUAUGUCCCCAAGGAUUCUCCUGUGUCCUCAGAGGGACACAAGAGGAAUGGGACAGGCCAGAUCCAUGUCAUCAAUGGUUUCCCAUUGUCCUCAGGGGGACAUUGGGGACACAAGAGGGAUGCAGACACCCUGGAUCCAUGUCCCCGGAGAUGGAUUGGAGAUGAACUAUGCUGGGGAGGGGGCAAGGUCCUGGCCGUGCUCUGGACCCUGCUGUCCCCAAGGGUUCCCCAGUGUCCCCAGGGGCUAUGGGGACACAGGAGGGAGGGGGACAUUCGGAUCCAGGUCCCCAGAUGUUCCCUGGUGUCCCCACGUGCGACACUGGGACAUCAGAGGGAUGGGGACACCCAGUUCCGUGUCCCCAAGGGUUCCCCAGUGUCCCCAAGUGGACACAGGAGGAACAGGGACACCUGGAUCCAUGUCCCCAAGGGUUCCCCAGUGUCCCCAGGUGGACACAGGAGGAACAGGGACACCCGGAUCCAUGUCCCCAAGGCUCCCUGGUGUCCCCAGAGGGACACAGGAGGGACAGGGACAUUCGGAUCCAUGUCCCCAAGGGUUCCCCAGUGUCCCAGGGGGACAUGGGGACACAGAAGGGAGGGGGACAUUCGGAUCCAUGUCCCCAUGCGUCCCCAAGCAGACACAAUAGGGACGGGGACACCUGGAUCCAUGUCCCCAAGGGUUCCCCAGUGUCCCCAAGGGGACACAGGAGGGACAGGGAGGGGGACAUCUGGAUCCAUGUCCCCAAGCGGUCACGGGGGCACGGGGGCCACCCGGCUCCGCUGCGGGGAGGGGACGGGAGGACCCACCUGGCGUGUCACCGGAGGCCGAAGGUCCCGUGACAAAGGCAGGGCCGGGCCGAGCUACCUGACGGACAGCUAGGACGAAGAGAGACACGGCGGCGUCACCGGGCCGCCGGCCUUGGGGUCA
rnacentral:lncRNA from 1 species